GCCUCCAUGGCCUAGUGGAUAGUGUCUCUGUUUUUGAAAAAUUUUGGUCGGGGGUUCGACCCCCACGGUGGCA